GGGGCGAAGGGUUGGGACACUCCUUACCUUAAAGAACCUGCCUUUGUAGUGCUCACACAGAUUGUCUGAUGAAAAUAACAUUAAAAAUCUCUGCAGGCUUGUAACUCAGGUGGUUAGAGCGCACCCCUGAUAAGGGUGAGGUCGGUGGUUCAAGUCCACUCAGGCCUACCAAACUCCUCUUGAAACACUUGCGGGGAACAACUCGCAUACUUCCUGCCUAUUCAUCAUUCCACUCAUCGUCUGCCAAGGACUUAGAAGUUCUGUCUUUCAAUCCCUGGAUCAUGCUGAAUCUUUUAACUGCAAACAUGUGAUAACUUCUCCAGUCUUCUGAAAAGGCGAUCUGCGAUGGUCAACCAAAAAAAAACUGGAUCGAGUUGGAAGUUGAAACAACAAACAUAUAAUGUGGGUUCCAUUCUUUCAAUUUUUCACAAUUUGAUGAUGAAUCAAAAGAAACAUCUUCAGGUUGUGAGGUUAAGCGAGUCUCUCAAAUUUUCGCAUGCCUAGGAAGAAUCGAAAGAAACAUCUUCUGGUUGUGAGGCUAACCGACUCACUGUACACUGUGGAUGCCUUGGCAUUU
rnacentral:tRNA from 1 species